GACGAACGCUGGCGGCGUGCUUAACACAUGCAAGUCGAACGGAAAGGCCCUGCUUUUGUGGGGUGCUCGAGUGGCGAACGGGUGAGUAACACGUGAGUAACCUGCCCUUGACUUUGGGAUAACUUCAGGAAACUGGGGCUAAUACCGGAUAGGAGCUCCUGCUGCAUGGUGGGGGUUGGAAAGUUUCGGCGGUUGGGGUUGGACUCGCGGCUUAUCAGCUUGUUGGUGGGGUAGUGGCUUACCAAGGCUUUGCCGGGUAGCCGGCCUGAGAGGGUGACCGGCCACAUUGGGACUGAGAUACGGCCCAGACUCCUACGGGAGGCAGCAGUGGGGAAUAUUGCACAAUGGGCGGAAGCCUGAUGCAGCAACGCCGCGUGCGGGAUGACGGCCUUCGGGUUGUAAACCGCUUUCGCCUGUGACGAAGCGUGAGUGACGGUAAUGGGUAAAGAAGCACCGGCUAACUACGUG
rnacentral:rRNA from 1 species